rnacentral:rRNA from 1 species
CCUACGUGUGUCAGCAGUAGGGAAUAUUGCUCAAUGGGGGAAACCCUGAAGCAGCAACGCCGCGUGGAGGAUGAAGGUUUUCGGAUUGUAAACUCCUUUUGUUAGAGAAGAUAAUGACGGUAUCUAACGAAUAAGCACAGGCUAACUCCGUGCCAGCAGCCGCGGUAAUCCGGAGGUUGCAAGCGUUACUCGGAAUCACUGGGCGUAAGGGGCGCGUAGGCGGGAUAGCAAGUCAGAUGUGAAAUUCUAUGUCUGAACCAUAGCACUGCAUUUGAAACUGUUAUUCUAGAGUAUGGGAGAGGUAGGUUGAAUUCUUGGGGUAGGGGUAAAAUCCGUAGAGAUCAAGAGGAAUACUCAUUGCGAAGGCGACCUGCUAGAACAUAACUGACGCUGAUGCGCGAAAGCGUGGGGAGCAAACAGGAUUAGAUACCCCAGUAGUC